GAAUUUGAUUAGAGCAGCAAAACUCCAUUUUUACUGCACAAUUGAUAGUAAAAAUCAUGGGCGGAGCUUCGUUUUCGCUGAAUCAACAAUAAUUGUAAUUGCUGGUCCCAGUACCUGAGCAGGAACACAUCAUGCCUUUCCUAUAAAGGGUGUCGUUAAGUAGAGACUUGGCGUAAGAACUCAGUCAUCUUUGCACAAUACUUCUUAUGUAACAUCAGAAUACAAAUAGUAUACGGUUUAUUUUACUCUACAAAUACACGGAUUACCCCCUUUUUGGGUAAUGUACACGCAUGCGCCUUCAAGCGGCCUGGAAUCGAGGCUAGCCUUUACUAUGACCGGCUUGCGAAUGGUGGUAUCGACGGAUCCAGAUAUUAGUAGAUGACCACCAUGAAGUAGUCGGGUGUGUUCUGAGCGUAUGAGGAGUCGGAUGACGAGAUUUUUGCUCACUUCUUUGGGACUCAGUGCGACUCGUUUGUCGAAUAUUUGUGACAGGGCCUAGGAAAACAGCGGGUAUACCCGAGUUUAUUUUUAUUGUUGAAUCGGAUAAAACGUUCUCUAAGCUUCAAAAUGAUACCAAGAUCGACCUCCUAGCUAUUUUCUAUCCGGAGAUAUGUUCGAGGGAACGCUACGAAGUAUUGCAACGCCCAGAUGACGCUCAAACGUCAUGAAUAAUUGUUGAUUUCCGGGCACUUUCGUAUACUUAGUAAAAGAUUUCUGGAGAAGACGAGUUAGUUAGAUGUCUCUAGCUCUCUAGCUAGCUUGUAUAGCGAAGGAUCUUAGAAGAAAUAAAAAGACAAGACAAAGACUCCCGUCGCUCCAAUGGUAAGCUUUCAUGUCUUGUUAUCAGCUUGUACUUACUUUCUGUGUCAUGUAUCAGUCUUAUAAAAGAUUGCUCACUUGCAUGGAGCCUACGUGUUCAUACGGCUUACAGUAUUCGUCUAUAUGCUAGAUUCAUCUAUAUGCUAGAUUCAACUUCUUACAAGAAGCUUUCCUCUAAUUUAGUAUUGGUAUCGUGCUUAGUAUUAGCAGGCCUGAUGGGAUGAGUGAUCACAUCUUGGAGAGCCCUGUGAAAUUGUCCUAUAACAUUUAGUCCUAUAACAUUUAUAUGGAUGGAGGUCGUUCCGGGUCUAUUGGCUAGAAUGUAAGUGACAUUGAUAUUGUGUCUAUCUUAACUUAACUUACUACUUAUCUGUAGGUUGUUAUGGUGAAGACAAGUGGCACGGGCGUCUAAAGAAACAAGAGUGGAUCUACGCCAAGCUAGCUAGCUAGAUAGCUGCUCUUUCUAAUGAAUGUUUGCUACCUGGCUCCUCUUGGUACUGGGCUGAUGAAAUAGUCCUGUACAAGUUGUAAUCUUUUUGUUAAAAAUAAUUAACAACAAUAGGGAUAUUCCCUGGGAAUUUCCCCUCACGUAGACAGUAAAUUUCAUUGUAAAAAAUAAACGUUUGGUGAGUUUCUUCCGCGCUUGACCUGUUUUUACAGGUAGGUAGAGGAGGCUGAAGUUAGCACCUGUGAAAAAAAACAUUUUUUGCCUUCAUUUCUAGGCCUCAUUUCUAGGCCCUGUCACAUUUUCUUCAGAGAAAAUAUUUCUUCUUGCCAGGAUUCUAUUUUCACCCAAUAAGUUGUGACUUUCAUUUGAUCUUGCAAUUUGUAACGAAUCUCAAUGUCCACGCUGUGAUUCUUGUUAGUCGAUGGACUCCUGUGUGUAUUGAUAUGUGGGCGUGUAUGGACCACGCCUAUGAGACCGUAUUUUAAUCGACCUGGUACCUAUUGCGGUGAUGGUGCGCAUGUGCAUGUCCAGCCACGCGGCAUGACAUUAUAGUACGUGUAGAACAACUGUAGAAUUUGUGACCCGUCCUUCGGAAACAAAUAUUCACGAUGUCACAUGGGAAGAUGUUUUUAAGAAGACUACUAACAUCCCUGAAAGACUCGACUCAACAAAGGUAGACUCCUUUUUCUAUUAGGCCACUCCAAGGCGGCUUUUCUCAUUAUUUUGCAUCAUUAUCACACUAUUUUGUACCACAUGGACCAUUCUGCGCAUGCGUAGUAGACGUAGUAGAAAUAAUGAGAUCGAAAUCCAAUAAUGAGAUAGAAAGCGGUGGACCAGAAACCAAAUGGCAUUGAUCUACUUCGAUCAUAUUUUAGCCUACUCUUGUACAACCUAAUACCUCUUAUUAGCGGCCCUACCUAAUUACUGUAUAGAAUAGUUGUGCCCCCCCCCCCCGCUGAAAUCCAUACUUUCAUACAGUACUUUCAUACAGUACCAUACAGUACCACAAUAACUUCUCGAUAAAAGGAUUUAAACCAAGAGCACUUCUUAAAGAUAGAGACCGCUGUGAACCGCUGUGGAUGAAAUACUCAGGGGCAAACGCACUUGCAUCGAAGCACUCCUUUCUCCAAGCAACUACGCAAAAUCAUGCAGCGUGCCAUCGUUUUUCUUCUGAGCUACACGUAGGCCUGCAAGUGGAAGCAAGUGGAAGAGUCGAAAUACUGUCAAGUAGCAUCUACUUUAAUGCAAGAAAUGAGCAAAGUAUUUCUUGAUGAGGCGAGUCGCGUGAAAAAAAAUUCCAAAGCAUACUAGAAGAAGAGUUAGGUCGGAUGUUCAUUAUGCAGCCCUUAACUGGAAAUCGUUAGGUAUGAUGGUGCAAUCGUAGUACAAAGUACACCUAUUGCCAACUGGGAAUUUAAAAAUGAUCUGGUGUGACUACAUGUCCCGUUACCCAAAACCUUAUGUGCAUGAAGUGCUGUUAGUUUCUGUUGUUGGCUGCCAUUACUUGUUGGCUGCCAUUACUUCCAAGUGUUUGGUGCUGUAAAGGUGUGUUUGUGUGCCGUCAUGGAAGAGAUGAUUGUGGUGGAACGCACCGUCCUGGUCUAUGCAAAGAUGGAUGAUAGCCUGGAUGAUAGCCUGCCAUCCAUGCUAUCAUGCCCAUUCCGUUCUUUUAUCCAUUCCCGUUCUUUUAUGGGCAAAAGGCACAUUCGAAAUGGCUGGAAGUACUACCACUACGACAAGUGCUCGAACUCAUGAGGAAAUCAUUUGCAAGGAUUACCAGAAGUGAUUGUCUCAGCAAUGCUACAACGUGUGAAGCCAUACCACCCAGCGAGGCUGGAACACAAUUCCUACUGAACUGAGGAAGUCUCCUGGACUGGACUGGACUGAGAUAAUCAAGCUACGGAAUUUCAGUGUUGGUGAUUUCGUAUAACUAAACUAUGUGAGGGGCUAGCGACUAGGAUCAUCGAGCGACUAGCUAGAGAGUUGAAACUACGAAUCAAAACUGACGUAGUGAUCAGCUCGAAUGACUGUUGUUCCGGGUACGGUUUAUUUUAGGUUCCUCACUAGACAAUAAAGAUAGCAUGCAAAUAAAGAUAGCAUGCAGUAGUAUAACGGCAUCUGUAGAGUAGGUACUGGCUGAUCUAUAAAAAUUAUACAAGCUAUUAGCUUUCCAAUAAUUUAUUGAAGAUUAUUACAUUCACUUCCUGCAUGCUUUGGGUGGAGCUCAAUAGUCGUGCUAAUGUCAAGAAGGUCCAGGCCAGCCAAACUGAAAGCGAUGUUGAAGAAGGGUAAGAAACACAAUGAAUGACAGAAAUCAUAUUUUGUAGAUUUACGAUUUACGUCUGAUUCUGAGCCAGUCUCAUGCGACUAUGUCUGACGAUGAACUUGAAGAAGGGUAAGAAACACAAUGAAUGACAGAAAUCAUAUUUUGUAGAUUUAUGAUUUACGUCUGAUUCUGAACCAGUCUCAUGCACCUCCUCUCUCUCCUGCAGCACUAGCCCCUUUAGGAUCCCCAUCGUCAUUGUCUGGCAAUGAACCUCCUCUCUCUCCUACAGUGUCAUCGCAUCCAGUCCCUUUAGCUCAAAACAACGUAGACUGGUAGCCGAAGUCGACAUCGGUCUCUGAAAGAUCUGGUGGGUUCUGGUGGGUGUAGUUUUAGCAAUGGUGAUAAAUACACAACCUCACUCAUUUUCAUUCCACUUUAACUAAAAAAAAACUAAAUACAGACAUUUUUCUACAUAAUAUCUCAAUGCAAUCAUCAUCGUUACCUAGCAACUGACCACCCCCCACUAACCACUAACAAUUAGCAUGAAGUACUUCGUGGGGCAAAAUUUUCGUGGUUGGAGGUCUGACCACGAAUAUUUUACCCACGAAUGAAGCGACCUUGCCAAGCAGCAUCCACGAAAUGUCUGCUGAACCACGAAUAUUUUGUCCCCCGAAAAUUACCCGCAACUAGGAAAUGUUCUCACGGUCACGGUGACAUGCAAGACCCAGCAGUCGUAUCGGCAGAUGCUCUUUACCAGGUUUACAAGUUCAAUGGUGGCUCACUUAUGUACGAACUAGACGCUAUCCAGACUACAUCCAUGAUACAGCCAUGAUACAGCUUCUUCUUCUUCCGGCUCUAUAUUUAUAUCUCUUGGUAUGACCCCAGUCACCUCGCUGAUGAGGUUGAAGAUCUUGUAGCCAUUAUCAAACGGUUUCGACAGUACUGCACGAAGCGUACCUCGAGGCAAGAUAUUAAAAAUACCACGUGAAAGAGCAGGCGUGCGCAUAGCUCCAACCACAACGAUUUUUUGAAAAUUAUCACUACCGCUGCCGUCAUAUGAGAAUGCAGUCUCUCUCUUCGGAUCCUAGUACUUAGCUAGAAACACCUGACAGAUCACACCUGACGAAAGAUGAUACAUCGCUGUUGCCGAAGGCCUGACAGACACAAGGACCCAAUACACCACAAAUUAAUAUUCACAAACACCACCCUUCGGCAUCUUUGUGAAUAUAAUUUAAUUUAGCCUUGUGUGUUACUCACGUAGAUGUGUGUGUUACGUAUAUUUAAUAGUAUGUACAGCUGGUUCAAGAACAGAGGUUGAGGUUUCCCUUCCAUAAACCGGCUCUCUCAACGUCAACGUGAAAUCUCUUAAAAUUGAUGUACUUAACUUACUUAACUUCAGCUUCUAUGCAUUACGAGCUCCUCCCUCAGUAAGUGCAAGUUAUUAUACUGAGUCGACAAUACAUACAACUUCAGUUGAAUAUAGGUCUGGUCUGUAUCUGAAUCUGAAUACGGUAACCAAAAAAUGUAGUCUGCUGAACAAAUUUUGUAGCAUAAGGAUAAUUUGUAGCAUAAGGAUAAUUAGGGUUACUGAUAGGCAUGUCCUUCUCAAACCGUUUGAGUCAAAAUGGUACACUACGCCUCAGCGAAUCUCACCUGAUGGAGUAGUUCACACCAAAACGUUCAAUCGAAUCUAUAAUUACGUAAAAGGAAUUCGCCACCUAACAUUUGAAAUCCAGGGUGUCCUAUAACGUAAACACUAUAAUUAUAAAUUAUGAGCAGAACAAACACUACCUCGCUACACUUACAACAUCAACUUUCUUCGCUGAUUUGAUCAUAAAUAUUUGGCACACUAAAAAACCUUGUGGAUUCUGAUGCAGGGCACCAUAACUAGCAGGGUACCAUAACUAAGGGUACCAUAACUACCUUGAUGUAAUUAUAAAUUACAGUUGACGGAGUCAGUCCUUACUUGGUUUGGCUUCAUGUUAGGAGGGCACCUACACCCACGUACGCCCACACACACGUUGCAAGGGAAAGCUCCUUCACAGGAUUAUGAAACUACUAGUGUGCAACUAGUGUGCACUCAGAUUUUACACUUGAUUUUCAUCCCGUCUAGGAAACCAGUAGACUUGAUCGUAGGUGCACUACACAACACAGGUGCAACACAGAUGCACUACCACACAGCUCUUCAAUAUUACGAAGAGCUUUUGUUGUAAAAUCCCUUUGUUAUCUAUUUAUGGUCAUGACACACCCUCUAGAGAAAAAUAGGACAAAGUCAGCUCGUAACUUUGUUCACCUUACCUAAUUACAGCAUGCUAACCAAGUCCUGUACGUAGAUAGUCAGAUCGAACACUUUUUAUAUCUGGCUCUAGCGUAUGCGUACGCUAGAGUAUAAAUUAAGACGUAAGCCUGUAGACCACGCCCCAAUUGCGUACGUAGAGUGCAGAAUUAGCAGCCUGAAGAGACAGCUUCUGCCAGGGUUGGCUGCUGUUUUGAUGGACUUUGAAGGUAAACUAUGAACUAGCUGUACGUAGAGAGUGUACAAGUGAACGACUGCUUGAGAGGACUCCCGUAAGAGUGCUGGUCGAAAAAUCGUUCAACUUUGCCGGGGAGAAUUACGAGUAGCAGAGAAAAGUUGACCUCAGUGAGUUUGUAGAGGACGUGCAAGUUGUAGAGGACGUGCAACCUGAGCAAUCAGAUGAGCCAGUAGAUGAAAACGAGGACCUAGUAAACGAUGGUGUACAUGUACUUGACGAAGAUGACAUAUAAAGAAGUAGAAGACUGGAAGGCUCUGUCCAGCCUCAAGCAGCUCAAGCUUCUCAGAAACUAUUCUGAUCUGUACGGCUAGCUAGCAAGGAAUUAACAGCUUGCAGCAAUGCUACAGUGCACUAUUGUUCCCAGACACAGGAGUCUACUGAAGUAAAACAUGGCAGCAGGAUAGAAACAGAAGUCAGGAGGGCGAAGUUGACAAAUGCUAACAAUUAAGUUGAAGACAUGCUUUCAUGUUUGUGACAAUGGACCCAGAACAGUUUUAAUCAUUGGCUCCUCGUAGAGACAAGAAAAGAUACUGGGGAAACCUACUAUCAACACAGCAAACGCUAUAGAAACUGGUAGUGAAAAAACUGAACAGCCAUAGCUAAUUAUCAUGCAGCUAGCUACAGCUUUAUUAUCAUUUCUGUACAUUCAAAAAAUUAUACUUGUACUUUAUACCCUCAAGCUUAUAAUUCCCUGGGAAACUAUGAGCCCUGCUAAACACACACAAGUGGUAUCUAAAGUUGUGUAUACAUAAGUAAUUCAGUUAAGCAAAAUGUAACACACGUGACAAUGUCUGUCUCUUUGUUCUCUCAGUUUUUGUGCCAGUUUUUUAGUACCAUGACGAUUAUGUUUAGGCUCAUGUGAUUUCCGUAUCAUCUUACUUUAGGCGUUUUGUGGCUUGUAGCUACAUGUAUAAGAUCUAACCUUGGUUGGAUUUGCAAAAAAUAAUUAGCCGUGCGUGUGUGUGAGUGUGUGUGUCCCCUGUGUGUGCGUGUCUGUGUGCCCUCUGUAUGUGUGUGUGCCCCCUCUGUAUGUGUGUGUGUGCCCCCUGUGUGUGCUGUGUGUGCGUGUGUGUGUGUAUGUAUGUGUGUGUGUGUGCCCCCUCUGUAUGUGUGUGUGUGCCCCCUGUGUGUGCGUGUGCGUAUGUGCGUGUGUGUAUGUAUGUGUGUGUGUGUGCCCCCUGUGUGUGUGUGUGUGUGUGCCCCUGUGGUGUGUGCCCCCUGUGUGUGCAUGUGUGUGAGUGUGUGUGUAUGUACCCCCUAUGUGUGCGUGUGUGUGUGUGUGCGUGCCCCUUGUGUGUGCGUGUGCGUGUGUGUGUGUGCGUGUGUGAGUGUGUGUGUGUGUGCAUGAGUGACCUGUGUGGGGCCCUGUGUGUGUGUGUGUGUGUGUGUGUGUGUGUGCGCAUGUGUUGUGUGUGUGUGUGCCCCGUGCUACGUGUGUUGUGUGGGCGUGUGUGUGUGUGUGUGUGUGUGUGUGCGCGUGGUGAUCAACCCACUCGUGUAUAUGCAAGCUGGUGGGGUUGUACUCCGUUUUGUUGGCUUUUGCAAGCUGGGUGAAAUAUAUAAUAUUUUUGCAGGGAUGACAAUAGCAUUGAGGAUGAAUGGAGGGAUUAUCAGAGCUUAUAUCAAGACUGAAUGUGUCCGAUAGUUCGCUGACUUUUUCGGAACACUGAUACAGCCCUUUUCCCUUUAGAGGCUAAGAGACUUCUCCCACACACUCUCUAAAGCUGCUUUGUGUGUUUCUGUCAUUCCUGUGAAUUGUAAUGUAUAGUUUACGUUUUGCCCUAUAUUUUACAUCUAUAUCAUUGUACAUUUUAAUGUUGCAUAUCUCACUGCCAAAAAGUUAGCAAAUUACCUAUCUUCAAGAUGAUACUAGACUCAAUUCCAGGAAUUGGUCUGCACAAAGUACUUUACUACAACCACUUAUAGUAUGAUUGUUUUGAUAAACAAACCACGAGGUAUGUUUGGCCUGCGCAAAACCACGUUGUUGUUAAUUUGUGUGCGCAGUCUCAACAGUGACGUAGACAAACCUUUCCAAAACAGGAAGUUCAGAAAUUAAUACCACGCCCAUUUUUUCUAAUAUUUCACGAAACAUUUCAGAGUUCUAAUUAAGAACUAAGUGGCCAGCUUGAAACACCUGUGAUUUCUACAUAUCUCACAGCUAUACAGGACAUCUUCUUUUUUUUUCUUUCUUCUUUUUUCUGCAUCUUUUUUCUGCACCAAGUUUUCGGUUAUCUUUUACUGUUUGUAAAUGUUUGAGCCAAAUUUCAACUUCUGCCUCCGGAAGACAAACAGGCUCAGCCAAUUGUUCAGGCUCUAAGGUAGACGUACUGUUAAAAGCUUUCUGCAAUGUUGCAGAUGGGGGUGGAGCGUAACUUCCAUCCGAGCUUUCCACAUAGUGACCAUUGCACCAUUGCAGAUCCCCUUACAGUCUUUACAAUUUUCUUUUCCCCAUGGUCUUUCUGGAUCUAUGUUCGGCUUUGAAUAUAAAAAAAAAAUUAUUAAAGCCAGACAAUAAGUUUAAUACAGGCUUGCUACAGAGCACCAUGCACCAGAGAGACACUCACUUGUUUUAUAUUAGCUGAUAGAUUUCUUCACAAUUUAACACUUCUUCUUGCAGCUAGAUCUUCUAUAUUUAGCCUUCUCUAGCACAUUUUAUAAUAUUUUAUUAAUAGAGUUGCAAUUAGCACAUGGCUAAUUUUUUACUGCGCAUGCGCAGAACAGUAUUAUCAAAUUCCCUGCAUCUGGGGCAAAAUGUAUAAUCAAAUCCCCACAUAAGCCCCACCUAGUGCCCGUACUGGGGGAGGUGGGGCUUGCCAUUGAUAGGUGCAUAAUGGUUAUGAGCGCACGUGAUAAAACCUGACGGUGGAUGACGCGCGUCCAACCUCCUCUAGGUGAACUUAAACUUAGUCGAUCUCACCGAACGUUCAUUUUUUACAAUGAAAUUCCCUGGGAAUUUCCCUAUUAUUGUUUAACAAAUAAAAGAUGACAACUUGUACAGGGCUAUUUCAUCAGCCCAGUACUUACAAUCAUCAAGAGAAGCCAGGUAUAUUAUAGCUCCACAACAUAAUUUAGCAACAGAAAUAGAGCUAGC